CUCAAUGAGUUGCCAUGCUAAGACUGAGUCACCAGAUAGGGCAGUGUUGCAUUUGGGUGCCAGUUGAGUUUAACAAAACUUCUUGUGUGAGA